rnacentral:rRNA from 1 species
UACAGAGGGUGCGAGCGUUGUCCGGAAUCACUGGGCGUAAAGGGUGCGUAGGUGGCUUGGUAAGCGUGUGGUGAAAGUCCGGGGCUCAACCCCGGAUCUGCCGUGCGAACUGCCGAGCUCGAGCAAUGUAGAGGCAGGUGGAAUUUCGGGUGUAGCGGUGGAAUGCGUAGAGAUCCGAAGGAACACCAGUGGCGAAGGCGGCCUGCUGGGCAUUUGCUGACACUGAGGCACGACAGCGUGGGGAGCAAACAGG